rnacentral:rRNA from 1 species
AUGAACGCUGGCGGCGUGGAUAAGGCAUGCAAGUCAAGGGGCCCGCAAGGGCACCGGCAGACGAGGUAGUAUAAAGUAGGUACGAACCUAGAAGUCAGGAAUAGCUACGCGAAAGCGUAGGUAAUACUUGAUAGUCCCUUCGGGGUAAAGAUUUAUCGCUUCUAGAUCGGCCUGCUCGGUAUCAGCUAGUUGGUAGGGUAAAAGCCUACCAAGGCUAUGACGCCUAGGGGAGGUGAGAGCCUGACCCCCACCGAUGGAACUGAGAUACGGUCCAUACACCUACUGGUGGCUGCAGCCGAGAAUAUUCGACAAUGGGCGAAAGCCUGAUCGAGCGACGCCGCGUGGUUGAUGAAGUCCUUCGGGAUGUAAAAACCUUUUAUGGAUGAGGAAGUUUAUUGACGUUAGUCCAUGAAUAAGAGGUUGCUAAACUCGU